GAUGAACGCUGGCGGCGUGCCUAAUACAUGCAAGUCGAGCGAACAGACGAGGAGCUUGCUCCUCUGACGUUAGCGGCGGACGGGUGAGUAACACGUGGAUAACCUACCUAUAAGACUGGGAUAACUUCGGGAAACCGGAGCUAAUACCGGAUAAUAUAUUGAACCGCAUGGUUCAAUAGUGAAAGACGGUUUUGCUGUCACUUAUAGAUGGAUCCGCGCCGCAUUAGCUAGUUGGUAAGGUAACGGCUUACCAAGGCAACGAUGCGUAGCCGACCUGAGAGGGUGAGCGGCCACACUGGAAUUGAGACCCGGUCCAGACCCCUACGGGGGGCAGCAGUAGGGAAUCUUCCGCAAUGGGCGAAAGCCUGACGGACCAACGCCGCGUGAGUGAUGAAGGUCUUCGGAUCUUAAAACUCUGUUAUUAGGGAAGAACAAAUGUGUAAGUAACUAUGCACGUCUUGACGGUACCUAAUCAGAAAGCCACGGCUAACUACGUG
rnacentral:rRNA from 1 species